rnacentral:lncRNA from 10 species
UUGGAUAGAAGAUCCUUAUAUUAGACAUACUCAUCAGCUGUAUAACUUUCUUCGAUUUUGUGAGAUGCUUAUUAAGAGACCAUGUAAAGUAAAAACUAUUCACCUUCUCACCUCUCUGGAUGAAGUAGGGCAUUGAGCAAGUGCAGCAAAGUAGAGGCCUGCAAGAAAUAGAAGAGUCACUCAGGAGUCACGGAGUGCUGUUGGAAGUUCAAUACUCUUCUUCAAUACAUGACCGAGAAAUUAGGUUCAACAAUGGAUGGAUGAUUAAGAUUGGAAGGGGACUUGAUUAUUUUAAGAAACCACAGGUAGGAUAUAAUCUUAUGAGUAAAUGUGUAGCACUGUUUUUGUAUCAUUUUUAAUGAUACUCUUUUCUUCUCUUCUUAGAGUCGUUUUUCCCUUGGAUAUUGUGAUUUUGAUUUAAGACCAUGUCAUGAAACAACAGUAGACAUUUUUCAUAAGAAGCAUACAAAAAAUAUAUGAUGGGUGGUAGCCUAAUUUGUAUUAUGUCUACUUUAAGUGAAUAUUGGAUUUUUUUUAAAAGAUCACUUUUAUAAUGUAUGAAUUUAACAAUAAACUUUUAUAUUUC